AUAUAUAUAUAUAUAAAUAUGCCUAUUGUUGGUUGGUUCAGAGGUAUCUGGUGCUGAACUUGGUAGGGUGGAUUACGAUCCAAUCCCCCACAACUGCAAAUUGGGUUAAAUAAAAGGGGUUACACCAACUUAUGUACCAGAGCCCCAUGCUCAAGAUCAUAAUCACUAACCGGUCACUUUACUAUGAGUAUGUACGGAUAACGGGCUUAAUGUGAUUGCACCUGAAUGAAAAGGACUUGAAGAAAACGAAAAGAAGGCCUAAGUAUGGUGGGGUAAUGUAGAUUGAUUUGUAGAAACCGCUUGGACCCUCCUUCUCUAUGGUAAUGUUCCAUUCUGGUUCUGGGGGAUAUUAUGCUAAUAUGGCAUGUUACCUUAUGAAUCUCAUGCCCUCGUCUGUCCUUAACAACAAUAUCCCUCACUUAAUUUUGUUAUUUCCUUAUUCCCCCUUCACCCAAUUCCUCCUCGUGUCUUCGAGUCUACAAUAUUUGUUAAAGUAAAUGCUCGUGACGGUGACGGUACCGGUGAUCAAUCAUGGUUCUCUUUCUCUCUCUUCCAGGUUACUCCUACCCUAUCUCAUAUCGAAACACUGGGGACAAUAUUCGAUUUAAGUGUGAGAGGAGAUUUUUAUCGUUUUUAUUGCUUUUCUUUAUUUUUAGUAUGUUUUGUGCAUUUUUAGUUGUUUGCUUUUCAUUUCAAUAAAAUAACAUGUGUUUGAUGAGUCAUCUGUGUAGUGUAUCCGUAUUUCUCCCUUUUCUUUAAACUUACCAAAAUAAUUAUGAGAAAAGAAAACAGUGCAUCUUGAAUAUUCAGGACAUAAGACAGGUUUAUGACGGGAUGUAAAAGACUUGGAAAAACUUUUUCUAAAAAUCGGUAUUGUCUUAACACCGUAGGCUUCAUGAUUACAAGAGUCGAUCCCGAUAUCCCAUAUGCUGUGACCCCAAUUUUUGUUCCAAAUAAGUCCUUAAGUAGUUUAUCCUUGCAGUCAGCUCCGGCUUAAGCAUGCUCUACGUAGGGGACCGAUGAAAAUAAGUGAAUGAUCACAAAAAAAAUUCCUGCUUUGUUCUCAAGUCAUAUGAAAAUUCGGGCUAGGUGACUCUCACACGGUCAUUUAACCCAGUAAAAUAAAGACAUAUGCGAAACAUGCAGAAGAAAAAAAUAAAAUGAAAUAUAUAUAUGCCUAUUGUAAGUUGGUUCAGAGGUAUCUGGUGCUGAACUUGGUAGGGUGGAUUACGAUCCAAUCCCCCACAACUGCAAAUUGGGUUAAAUAAAAGGGGUUACACCAACUUAUGUACUAGAGCCCCAUGCUUAAGAUCAUAAUCACUAACCGGUCACUUUACUAUGAGUAUGUACGGAUAACGGGCUUAAUGUGAUUGCACCUGAAUGAAAAGGACUUGAAGAAAACAAAAAGAAGCCUACGAUCGCAUUAUCCCACCAUAAGUCUUUUUGCCUUGAGUUAACUCUAGUUGAUACUGUUUUACUUGCAUAAACUAUAAAGAGUUUUGCUUGAGGACAAACAAAGGUUUAAGUGUGGGAGAAUUUGAUCACACUGAAUCACACCGUAUUUUUGACUCGGAUUUCACAUGUUUAGUAGGACUUUAUUAUCAUUUUAUUUGUAUUAUGCUCUCUUUUAUGUUGUUUUCAGAUAUUUAGCUCUUUCGGGACACUUUUAGAAAAAACAAAGCAAAAAAACCAAAAUGAGGGUUUUUCGGCAAAUAUUGUACACAUGGCGUUGCACAUGGCGACCGCUAUAGGAGAAACCAUUACUCAUCAGCCCUCAACCAGGAGGUAAUCCGUCACAUCGGGGGGUUAUCUCACUUUAGUGAGAUUGAGUUGGGUCAUUUUUUAUUUUAUUGCUUUUAUUUAUUUUACUUGUCUUGCUUUAUUUUAUUUAAUUUCUGUAUCGCUUUACUUUAUUUAAUUUCUUUCUACGCUUUACUUUAUUUAAUUUCUGUCUACGCUUUACUUUAUUUAAUUUCUGUCCACGCUUUAAUCGUUCUUUACGCCUUACAUUCUAAAACAACUUUUCAUCAUGAUCAAUAUUGUUGUGUUUGUUGGUAUUACCAUGUCUGACUAAAUCUUUUAAAAGUUAGAAUGUAAGGAUCGCGNNN
rnacentral:lncRNA from 1 species